rnacentral:rRNA from 1 species
AUGAACGCUAGCGGCAGGCCUAACACAUGCAAGUCGAGGGGCAGCACGGUGUAGCAAUACACUGGUGGCGACCGGCGCACGGGUGCGUAACGCGUAUGCAACCUACCCAUAACAGGGGGAUAACACUGAGAAAUUGGUACUAAUACCCCAUAACAUCAGGACCGGCAUCGGUUCUGGUUGAAAACUCCGGUGGUUAUGGAUGGGCAUGCGUUGUAUUAGCUGGUUGGUGAGGUAACGGCUCACCAAGGCAACGAUACAUAGGGGGACUGAGAGGUUAACCCCCCACAUUGGUACUGAGACACGGACCAAACUCCUACGGGAGGCAGCAGUGAGGAAUAUUGGUCAAUGGACGCAAGUCUGAACCAGCCAUGCCGCGUGCAGGAAGACGGCUCUAUGAGUUGUAAACUGCUUUUGUACGAGGGUAAACGCUCUUACGUGUAAGAGCCUGAAAGUAUCGUACGAAUAAGGAUCGGCUAACUCCGUGCCAGCAGCCGCGGUAAUACGGAGGAUCCAAGCGUUAUCCGGAUUUAUUGGGUUUAAAGGGUGCGUAGGCGGUUUGAUAAGUUAGAGGUGAAAUACCGGUGCUUAACACCGGAACUGCCUCUAAUACUGUUGAACUAGAGAGUAGUUGCGGUAGGCGGAAUGUAUGGUGUAGCGGUGAAAUGCUUAGAGAUCAUACAGAACACCGAUUGCGAAGGCAGCUUACCAAACUAUAUCUGACGUUGAGGCACGAAAGCGUGGGGAGCAAACAGGAUUAGAUACCCUGGUAGUCCACGCAGUAAACGAUGAUAACUCGCUGUCGGCGAUACACAGUCGGCGGCUAAGCGAAAGCGAUAAGUUAUCCACCUGGGGAGUACGUUCGCAAGAAUGAAACUCAAAGGAAUUGACGGGGGCCCGCACAAGCGGAGGAACAUGUGGUUUAAUUCGAUGAUACGCGAGGAACCUUACCCGGGCUUAAAUUGCACUCGAAUGAUCCGGAAACGGUUCAGCUAGCAAUAGCGAGUGUGAAGGUGCUGCAUGGUUGUCGUCAGCUCGUGCCGUGAGGUGUCGGGUUAAGUCCCAUAACGAGCGCAACCCCUACCGUUAGUUGCCAUCAGGUCAAGCUGGGCACUCUGGCGGGACUGCCGGUGUAAGCCGAGAGGAAGGUGGGGAUGACGUCAAAUCAGCACGGCCCUUACGUCCGGGGCUACACACGUGUUACAAUGGUAGGUACAGAGGGCAGCUACCCAGUGAUGGGAUGCGAAUCUCGAAAGCCUAUCUCAGUUCGGAUCGGAGGCUGAAACCCGCCUCCGUGAAGUUGGAUUCGCUAGUAAUCGCGCAUCAGCCAUGGCGCGGUGAAUACGUUCCCGGGCCUUGUACACACCGCCCGUCAAGCCAUGGAAGCUGGGGGUGCCUGAAGUUCGUGACCGCAAGGAGCGACCUAGGGCAAAACCGGUGACUGGGGCU